GACGAACGCUGGCGGCGUGCUUAACACAUGCGAGUCGAACGGUGAAGGGGCCUGCUUUUGUGGGCCCUGGAUGAGUGGCGAACGGGUGAGUAACACGUGAGUAACCUGCCCCCUUCUUCUGGAUAACCGCAUGAAAGUGUGGCUAAUACGGGAUAUUCUGGGUCUGUCGCAUGAUGGGUCUGGGAAAGAUUGCGCCUUUGGGUGUUUUUGGUGGGGGAUGGGCUCGCGGCCUAUCAGCUUGUUGGUGGGGUGAUGGCCUACCAAGGCGGUGACGGGUAGCCGGCCGGAGAGGGUGGACGGUCACACUGGGACUGAGACACGGCCCAGACUCCUACGGGAGGCAGCAGUGGGGAAUAUUGCACAAUGGGCGCAAGCCUGAUGCAGCGACGCCGCGUGAGGGAGGGAGGCCUUCGGGUUGUAAACCUCUUUCGCCAGUGAAGCAGGCCUGCUCCUUGUGGGUGGGUUGACGGUAGCUGGAUAAGAAGCGCCGGCUAACUACGUG
rnacentral:rRNA from 1 species